GGAACGGGGGAGCGAGCGCCUCGGGAAGGUGCUGGGGGCCCGAGGUGUGAGCUAAUCAGUUCCCUCGCUCUGCCGCCGGCGCCGCCUGACACACCCCUCCCGGCCGGGCCUUCACCGGUCGCCAGUCCCCGGCCUCAGCCCGCGCGCCUCGCCCCGGGGCCCGGGCCCGUCUCUCUCCCGGGGCUGGCGGGUCCCGCUCGCGCCGCCGUGCCCAGCACGCACCUUCAACGCACCCCGGGCCGGGCCCUUGGGGACCGCACGGCCGGGGCCGAGGGGCAGGAAGCGCUCCUCGCUCUCCUCCUCGUCGUCGUCGCCGUCCACCACCUCGACGACCACCUCCUCGUCCUCGUCUUCCUCGUCGUCAUCCUCCUCCUCCGCGCCCCCUCGGGGCUUCUCUUCCACGCGCCCGAGCCCCCUCCGCCGCCUGCUCCCGCCUUCCUCGUCCUCGUCUUCCUCCCCCAGAAGCAGCAGCACGGGCGACGAGGCGGCGGCGGCCCCGGCGGCCCGAGGGGGGCCGGUCCCGGCGUUGCGCGGCGGCGGCAGCGNNNNNNNNNNNNNNNNNNNNNNNNNNNNNNNNNNNNNNNNNCGCGCUGCGCUCCAUGCGGCCGGUGGCCGGGCCCGCGCGCGCCUCUCCCGGCCCGCUGCGCCCGCGCGGUCCUGGCCUACAGCUGCCGUCCCUCCGCGCGAGCUGUUUGUGUUGUGUGUUUUCCACCACCGCCCCCCUCUUCGCGAGCCAUUCCUCACAGCUCUCCGGUACCCCCGUUCAGACAAAACCCGGACUGGAUUUAUUUCCCCUACCCUCAGCCUCCGCAAAUCUGGUGCUUCUCAGCAUUCGGCCCAGACGCUGGGGCAAACGCUAUCCCGCCGCGGAUGAUUCCUUGUGCAGGGUGGACGGAAGACUUUGCUGCAAGUAGGGUUGUUGGUCAAACUCAGACUUCGAAGGAAGAGAUUUGCCGCAAGUCAUUUUCACGGUCUCUGCAGUGCGUGGGACUACUCUUGACCUUACGUGAAACCCGAGAAGGCAAAGCUGACUUCCAAGACCGUUGGCCUAAACUGAAAUUUCAAGCAAAACCUGGUGCUGCAAAUACUGUUGUUUCUUGCUCCUUUCCUGAGGUUGAGAGGAGGGAAGAGAAAAAAACUGAAGAGGAACAGAAAAGCAAGGAGAAGACAGAGGAGGAUACAAGAAAGGUGAGCCACAAGAAAAUAGAAUAAUAGGGGCGCCUGGGUGGCACAGCGGUUAAGCGUCUGCCUUCAGCUCAGAGCGUGAUCCCAGCGUUAUGGGAUCGAGCCCCACAUCAGGCUCUUCUGCUGUGGGCCUGCUUCUUCCUCUCCCAUUCCCCCUGCUUGUGUUCCCUCUCUCGCUGGCUGUCUCUAUCUCUGGUCAAAUAAAUAAAUAAAAUCUUAAAAAAAAAAAAAAAAGAAAAUAGAAUAAUAGCCUUGGCUCUUUGGUGAUUUACUAUUUAUAUAUAAGAAUCCACACAUACAAGAUUUUUUGCUUUUUAGCCAAAGCAUGUCCUUUAGAAAUUUAGGGGAUCCCUCCCUUCCCCUUAUUCAAUAUUCAGUGAAGAGAAAAUACUGGCUAGUUG
ensembl:lncRNA